GCGUUGUUCGGAAUUACUGGGCGUAAAGAGUGCGUAGGCGGUUGACUAANUUUGGUGUGAAAUCUCCCGGCUUAACUGGGAGGGUGCGCCGAAAACUGGCCAGCUAGAGUGUGGGAGAGGAUAGUGGAAUUCCUGGUGUAGCGGUGAAAUGCGUANAUAUCACCGAGGAACACCUGCGGUGUAUGACGGCUAUCUGGACCAUGACUGACGCUGAGGCACGAAAGCGUGGGUAGCAAACAGGAUUAGAUACCCUGGUAGUCCACGCCCUAAACGAUGCAAACUUGGUGUGCGCCCUUCAUUGGGUGCGUGCCGCAGCUAACGCGUUAAUUUUGCCGCCUGGGGAGUACGGKCGCAAGGCUG
rnacentral:rRNA from 1 species